rnacentral:rRNA from 1 species
AUGAAGACGGCGCGAAGGAAGAGGGGCCCGGCAGGGAAAACGACGAAGGAGGGGACGGCGGAGCUCGCUGAUGAGGCGCCGAGCAGCCGUGAGGAGAAGGGAGCAGGGGCACUCCAGAUGUGGAGUGGCACCUGGUCGGGGCGCGCCAUGGCGAGGCGAGCAGGAGGCGGACGCUGGCUCAUUGGAGAAGGUGGAGAGGGAGGCCGCGGCGGCCCGAGGAGUAGAUGGCGACGGGCGGCGGCGUCUGCGAUGGAGGGAUUGACGGGAGGAGGAAAAAGGGAUCGGGAGAGAGAGAUCGAGUGGAUCAGGCUCGGCUGCGUGCGCCUGCGACGCUCUCCUGGCGGCGCUUGGAAGCACGAAGGAGGAGGAGGGGGGUUCGAGGGAGAUGGGCUAGGUUUAGGUGGGAGUGGGGCACUCGGCCUUAGGAGGGGGAUGGGCCGGCGCAUUGGGAAAGGAUGGCCUAGUGGGAGUGGGCGCUGGGAGGCCCAGCUGGUCUGGACUGGGGCCUCAACUCUCUCUCUCUCUCUCAACUUUUUUCUAAAACAGAAAAAAAAAGAGAAGAGAAGAAAAAGAAAGGAGGUGUUGGGGAAGAAGUUUGACAUGCGGAUAAUUUUCACGGACUCAGAAAAAUGUGCACGGUCCGGGAAAAUAGAAAAAGGUCAAGUUUGA